rnacentral:rRNA from 2 species
AACACGUGGGCAAUCUGCCCUGCACUCUGGGACAAGCCCUGGAAACGGGGUCUAAUACCGGAUACUCACUGCCUUGGGCAUCCUUGGGGGUGGAAAGCUCCGGCGGUGCAGGAUGAGCCCGCGGCCUAUCAGCUAGUUGGUGAGGUAAUGGCUCACCAAGGCGACGACGGGUAGCCGGCCUGAGAGGGCGACCGGCCACACUGGGACUGAGACACGGCCCAGACUCCUACGGGAGGCAGCAGUGGGGAAUAUUGCACAAUGGGCGAAAGCCUGAUGCAGCGACGCCGCGUGAGGGAUGACGGCCUUCGGGUUGUAAACCUCUUUCAGCAGGGAAGAAGCGAGAGUGACGGUACCUGCAGAAGAAGCGCCGGCUAACUACGUGCCAGCAGCCGCGGUAAUACGUAGGGCGCAAGCGUUGUCCGGAAUUAUUGGGCGUAAAGAGCUCGUAGGCGGCUUGUCACGUCGGUUGUGAAAGCCCGGGGCUUAACCCCGGGUCUGCAGUCGAUACGGGCAGGCUAGAGUUCGGUAGGGGAGAUCGGAAUUCCUGGUGUAGCGGUGAAAUGCGCAGAUAUCAGGAGGAACACCGGUGGCGAAGGCGGAUCUCUGGGCCGAUACUGACGCUGAGGAGCGAAAGCGUGGGGAGCGAACAGGAUUAGAUACCCUGGUAGUCCACGCCGUAAACGGUGGGCACUAGGUGUGGGCAACAUUCCACGUUGUCCGUGCC